UGCAUGUGCCUUUAAUGUGAUUGGCUUCUUAUUCAAAGAUGUUGUGAUUUAUUGCAUAAUGACACGGGCUGAUUGUAUAUUAGCUGGCAACGCUUCUCUUGGUGAUCAUCCAGAUUUAGACGAUUAUAUGUCUGUCAAUCUCAAACCUCUCUACGGCCCAUUUCCUCUUUUGGACGGAAAUUAACUGCUAUAUUAAGAAAGGGUGGUUGUUUUCCCAUAUCGAUGCCAGACUGGUAUGAACCAGCGACUACCCAGCAGGUUUGGAUUCAUACAUACGACUGCAAUGAGGAAGUCGAUGUGGCAGGUGAAUGGCACUGACCGGGCAGAAAAAGCUGUUUAUGAGCUGAGAAUAAUCCCUCGUUUACGGCGGUAAAUUGGUUCCAGACUUGACUGUGCAGACUUUGGAUGCGAGAGCAUACUCCAUGGUGCUCCAGCAGGCCCACCAGGCAGUGCAAACCCGGUGUCCUCCACCAUCGACCAAGGCCGGCCUUCCAGUGCGACAAAUCCAACCAUGUUUCCGUAGACCUCUGACUACCACGCACAUACAGUUUCUCUAGUCGUCUUCUCUGCUGCAGCCGAAUGAAUGCGACUGGAAGAGCUGCACCUCACGGAUCGCGGGUAUGCUGGAGCCUACCCCAGCUGUUUUCGGGCGAGAGACGAGGUCGCCAGCCAAUCAUAGGGCACAUAUAGACAAACAACCAUUCACACUCACAUUCAUACCUAUGGACAAUUUGGAGUGGCCAAUUAACCUAGCAUGUUUUUGGAAUGUGGGAGGAAACCGGAGUACCCGGAGAAAACCCACGCAUGCACGGGGAGAACAUGCAAACCACCAUGCAGCCCUAAAAGUUAAUAUAUUGGUUACAUAUAUAUAUUCACCACUGUUGAUUGAUCGGUGAUACAUCAUAAUCGGCGGAAACUGGACUGUAGCACAGCAAAUUAGAGAUAUGAUCAUGUUGUUUUUUUUUUCCACCAGGGAAAGGUUUUGUGAAAAACUUGAUUCAAGUAGACAAUAGCCACGGUUACAUGAUGAGUUUUUCUCUUUCCGAAUCGAAUCUUUUAGAAUGACCUUUCCGAAAGCAAUGGUAUACAUGGAAAGGAAUAUUCCAAUCUCUUGUCUACAUGCGCCGCUAUAAUCAACCAGAAUAGUCAAUGGGGCAUGCCCAGUAAAACGUAAACACCAACAUCACGUGAUGCCGACUUCCCCGAGUUGUUCUUUCACUUGUUGGAAUAACUCCGUUUUGCCAGUUUUUCCUUCAUCCAGUCUUGUUAGUUUGAAUCAAAAACAAACUUUCCUUAGCAGUCCAGUGCCGAUUGCUCGCCUCCAUUUUUUUAAAUGGAAGAACGUGUGGAGCUGCGUGUUACGUCAUAUCUCAGCAUUCGCUAAAAGAACGCACCCAGGAACAGGAAAAGAUAAAGUUCAAUCUUGCUAAUAUUUUAUAAUUAAACUCGGCACAUGUUUUAUAUAGAUAUGUAUUUUCUUUUUUAAUAAAACUGGAUUUGUGAAUGGCGUAUAGAAGGGUUUAGAUUCUGUUCCACAGAUGGCGCUAAUGCACACGAAAGCUGCUUGCCAACCGCCAAUAAACAACAGAAGAAGAAAAACACCACGAAGAAGAACGCAGUCUGUCAACUUUCCGAUUGAGCGGGUACAAGAUACCUCAAUCGGAUUGGGGAAAGGAAUAUUCCACCCCUGGGAAUCUGAUUAUAUAUUCAUUCGGAUUGGCACUUUUCUUUGGGAAUGAGGUGUAUACAAAGGUUACAUUCUUUCUGUUUGAGCAAAUAACCCGAAUGGAAUUGGAAUAUUUGGGUCCAUGUAUACGUGGCUAAUGAUGUAGGUGAUUAACAGAGGCAGGAAGUCUAUUGGGAAGGGGAGUUUUAUUUGAGAUAUUUCAACCAUUUGAAAGAUAUUUAGGGUAUGUUAAGAGUAUGGAUAGGUACCACAAGAUAAAGGUUUUUAUGACCUGCUAAUGUCCCUAUGUUACAAAGUAACCAGUGACUAUGAGGACACUUCCAUAAAAUAAAAUGAUAUUUAGAAGCCGUCCUGCUGCUAGGGUGUCAUUCUCCUAUUAAGAGAAAUGCUGCUCAAACCAAAGUGUACCGCUUGGCACAAAUGUUCCUGACAUAAAGGUAAUCCCAGCCAUCUCGUCGCACCACUGUUUUUUGGUUUUUGUUUUGCUCCUCCACAAGGAGACGGCAUAAGGAGUUUAUUAGAGGUUUGGCGUUUAUUUGUUGAAGUCAGGGUUUGCCCAACUUCGGUUUGGGGCCCUAAAUGUAUUUCAGUAAGUUCGGAACCAAAGUAUUGUUAAACUGAAAAACAUUGGUAUAAAUCAAUGGAGUACUAGGUGAUUAAUUGAGGGACGGUAUUUAAACUAUUAAAUCUUGUAAUAGAUUUUUAGCUAUUUUUAUUUCCUACAUUUUGCACACAAAAGAAGAAUGCAUGACCUCAGUUCAGCUAAAGGUGUUGCGUGGUGCAUAAUCACUUUACCUGAUGUAGUAGUCGUUCCUGAUGAGCAGAAGGUGUUGCAGGAUGGACAGGAAGUAGGUCUCGGACCCCGUGUCUUUUACCAUGUUGGACAAGAGAUGAUACACCUCAUUCAUAUCAGUGGAGAGGGCAAAGUUAAGGGAAGCAGUUCGGUAAUGACUAUGAUUACUGGAUAGUCACAUGACUCAUCAUUACAUUCCAUUGAAGGAGACAAUUCAAAUGCAAAGUAGCAAAGUAACUCUAAACAGCUCCUCACGCUUCCUGACAGGCAUCACUGUGUAAAAGCAAACACAGAUGUGCUUCUUCUUAUUAUCUCCAGGGAACUGAUAGAACAAGAGGAAGUAUGGAAAAAAAUAUAAAAUAACUCCCUCUGGUUUACCUGUCACUCUGAUGCUUUCAAAGUAGAAAAUUAAUUAGAUGACAAAAAAAAGUCUAAAAAAGGUUUGAAUAUUUAAGGCAAGCAUGACGGCGGAGGCGCUCAUUUGCAGAACGACAAUUACGCCGAGAGUCACUUUUGUGAUUGAAACUGACGUUCAAUCCACACACACAUAUAAAAAAAAAACCUUGGUUAUUAAAUUUGCAAAAGGUAUUGAUUAUGUGUCUUGUGUUAGCUUUCCCCAAGAGUGAGCGUUGAUGGCUCGGACAUCUAAAACACAUCUGUCAGAUGUCUAAAUCUACUACACUCGUCCUUCUUCAAGCACUUUCUACAUAGGAGUCUUACAUAUUUACUUCUUUGUGUUGUAUUAAACAAUGACCAUGCCGUCUCUUAAUGCCUUUAAUUCAUAUACUGAAACAUUAUUAAACACUGGAUUUGUGCUUGUCAAACUUCUGAAGAACUUUAAGAGCGCAGUGCAAACUAAUGCAGAUGCUAUUUAGUUUGUGCAAGAAAAGAAAGGAUUUCCCCACGGGAGGCUCAUCUUGUUUAAAAAAGUGCAAAAAGCUUCCCAAAUAUGUCCUAUAAAUGUGCACAUAAAUAAGUGACAGAUGAGAAGCUGACACCCUGACAUGAAGCGCAACCUCCUAAAAUAUUUACAAGGAACGCGGUGACAAAGUGACAUUUUCACUUAGCGGCACAUGUUGUUCUUAUUUCUGCCAUUGAAGAAGGAAAUAUGUCUUCUAAACAGCGACAGUUUAGGAUGUAAGUACACGCUUUGGGGCAUAUACACAGUGACUUGUCAGGGAUUUAGACUUAAUAGUAUGACAUUGGUUGUACAGUAUACAGUAUAUAACCAAUCCAAUACUAUAUGUAUAUAUACAUUGAUUUAAUUGCAAUUAAUCACACUUUUAGUCAUAGUUGACUCAUAAUUUAAAAUUUAAUUGAUUAUUUAACCAUAGAUUUAAAAAAAUCAAGUAUAAUAGUUUAUCUAGUAUAAUAAGUAGGGAUGUAAACAUGUUUGUGGUACACAAUUGGAAAGUACAACAAUAAAGUCAAAUCCUACAAGUUUUGAAUUCAAUGCAAGCCCCAAUUUGUCCCACCUUAUAUGUUCUACUACUAUACUGUAUUUUUACCCUUUUUCUUUCACCUCAUAUUUUCUCCCAAAUACCGACACUAUGAAGGAAUACCUACAGAUACCUGAUGACCUUAUUGAGUGCCAAUGUGCAUAUUUGUGAUACACAACCUCUCUGAAAGUCCAGGCUCAUACUGGUGGAUUGUGGUUCUGUAUUCAUUUAGUGUUUUUCAUUUGAUCUUGUUCCUGAUGUUGUUGUACAAACCAUAAUAAAUAAGAUAAAUGACAUCGCUAUAAUGUAUCUGUUUUGUGUUGAAAAUCUUUCCUGGUGUCUAGCUAGCUCGUUUCCGUGCUAGCUAAUGCUAAUAAUAAAUGAAUAAACCCUUGGCAGAGAUAAUUAAAUAAAAAGUGGUUAGGAGCGACUAACUGUGGUGGAAAAAGGUUAUUAGCAACU